rnacentral:lncRNA from 1 species
GUGAGUCCACUGGAACAGCUCUUAGGAGUACGUUAUUACAAAGACCGGAGUGCUCUGCUCCAAACUAUUUGGGAAAGGUGGUACCAACUGAAGAGGUGGAGAGUCAACCUAGAUCACAGAAUGGCGCGCAUCCUGGACCUCUCCAAGUUUUCAGGGAAGAAAACUCUAUUUUUAAAAAUUAUUCUCGUUAUGGUUGUGCAUUAUCCCUUGAAGGUUCAGGGAGUUCACUUCGUCUUAACAUGGAGUCGC